GUAUAUAUUCAACACUUUGUCGUUUGUUACAGAUCUUCCAAAAAUUUAUUUGUAAUUUUUUCGCGGGCGACAACGGUACCUCUUCUACCCGAAAUGGAUACGUCACUGGGGCCGCGGUCCGUUGCGCAUGCGCAAGAAACCUGGCCCGUAUCUGUUCACAAAUACCGAGUGCAGCAGUGCAGCUCGGCUCAGUUUGUAGGUGAGCCAUAGGAGCUCCGUAGAGCUCCGUUACGUCGGGCGUGAGAGGCGAAGCGGUCGCAACUCUUCACGAGACUCUGUCGCGUCGAGAACUGCCACCGUCGCUGUCACUGUCAUCGCCGUCCUGUCACCGUCGCCGUGCUAUUUGCAACCGUAGAGUGGUAGUCGGUGUCGCUGAGAGCUCGCACAGAGAGACGCCUGUGUGAUCAUGAAAAGUGUGAGAGUGCGUGAAAUCGGCUAGCGUGCAACGAGCAAGGAGGAGCGUACGAAGAGGCACGUUCCAGACGACGGUAAUGACGAGCAAGUGCGCCAGCUGCAUUUCUUCCUCUUGAAUAUCGUCGUGAGGUCGACGAACGUGGGAACGACGAGCGGUGUCGAUGAAGCAUUCGAGGGAUCAUCACGAAGCCGUCGUCCGCCACGUCGCACUCGUUCUUAGGACGUUCCUCUUCCGAGGGAGAAUUCCCGGUGGCGGAAAUCGGGCGACAUAAUUCCUCCCCUGCCGUCGUGAUCCAUCCGUGAGCACUUACGGUGCACGGGAAGCAAUCUCAAUCGCGCGAUCCGAGAAACUGAAGAAUUCCGGGGCAGUCUCGGGGAUUCGUUAUCUUUUCCGGUCUAUAUUUUCCGUAAUUGAACGUCGGGAAUGACUUUCUCGCGCGCGGCGCGCGAAACGUCGUCAGUGAGACCGGUGGUGCGUAAAACUGCGAAGUGACAACCGAAGAAACGCGGACGAUCAGUUUUAGGAAAUCGCGGAAUCGGCCGUAUGCUUCGAUCGGCCGGGGUCACCCGUGAUUGUUGAAUCGAAGUCAAGGACGUCGCAGGUAGUAUCGGCCGGGUGCUCCGCAGAAACGGGUGGGCAGACUCGAGGCCCCCCGCUUGCCGCCAGGACUUGCUCGAGGACUCGCGCGUUACACGCAACAGAAUUCAAAGUGCGGUGUCCCGGCCUCAGUGAGAUGGCCUUCAUGAUGAAGAAGAAAAAGUACAAAUUCUCGGUGGAGGUCGACCUCGAGGAGCUCACGGCGGUGCCAUUCGUCAAUGCCGUGCUUUUCGCCAAGCUGAGGCUCCUGGACGGCGGUUCCUUCGUCGAUCAUUCCACCAGGUCAGUGCAUUUCGGUAGAAAACAUUUUGUAUUUAUGCUAAAACCGGAUCCUCCUCCACGAUAUUAAAUUGAAAGUCAAUUUAAUAAUAAUCGAUGGUAACAAGCAUCUAAAUGUGAGGACUUUUUCCUCCGUAAAAAAAAAUUGUAAAGAUUGUUACGAAAAAUAAUACUCCAGCCAGGAAUCAAACCUGGAACCUCCCGACUUUCCGAAGAGGGUGUCUUAGUUAACUGUUUUAUAAACUUAAUCGAUUGCUAUAGUUGAAUUAUAUUUUUAUAUUCUAUUUGCGACACGUAUAAAAGAAUUCUAAUAAUUGAAUGGGAUUUUGUUAAAAUUGGAACUUUGAGUGUCAAUCGUACAAUCAAUGAAUCAUUAACUUGUCGAUUUUACAUCACUACUUUUUGCUUUAUAACAUACGGACUAAAGACACUGUAAGGUAUGAACAUAUACAUUUAGACGACUGCAUUCACUUUGGCGCUCACAGUGCUGUAGGCAUCAUUCAGUCCUUAUUGUUUAUCAAAUAUUAAACAAGGACUAAUGAUGUUGGUAAGUGCUGUGAACGCCAAAGCGAAUGUAGCCUCAAUGCAUAUUGAAUAAAGUAUAUUUCACCUUGUUAUCCGGUAUUGUUCUAUUUAUGAGUUCCGUUAACUUUUUAUUAAUUUUCUUUUUUUUUUUAUUAAUAUCGAUUAGUUUUACUCGUUACUUGAAUAGUAUAAAAAAUUGACUUGCUUCGUGAUGUUAACGAGUAUCCAAAAAUGUAAUCCGUGCUUCAAACAUUCGAGAGCAUUCAAAACUUCUUUGUUUGCAACACAUAUAUAAUUUUGACGUAACAUUUCGACAUAAUGCAUUUAGGCUAACGUAUAAAUGGGUGUAAUGUAUAAGUUUAUUGUUCAAUAUUUUACAGAGUAAUGCAUUAUAAUUUUCGGUGUAUUUGAAUAUUGAUAUAAAUGCAAUCACAUAAAUACGAAAUAUUUUAAUAACUUAUUGCUCAUAUGCAGCAUAUCACGAAUUCGAGGCGUAAUUAAUUACGAUAAAUUAUUAAUUUAUCGUAAUUAAUUACAGCGCGCGCGAUAUUCAGCAUUAAUAUUUAAUUAUUUAUAUCAACGAGUAUUAACCUUGCGAAACAUUGUUUCUUGUUUGUAAUAUUGCGGCAAAUAGCGUCAGCAUUUUUUUCAAGUCAGUGAGAAGCUGUUAUGACAAUUAUCAAGAUUUAUACUGCUGUUCAUAGAACUCGAGACUUUCUAGAAAUAGAUCCCGGACGGAAAUAAAGACUUCAACUAUGCCCGGCGCGGUGAACUUUGCAUUUUUGCGCUAUACAAUAAUGAUGUACGUCACGUUUCUAUGUUCUCGGGAAUGCAGUUCUUGAUACAGGCUUUUACUUUUCACCUUGUUAUCCGGCAUUAUACGAGUUUCCUUCAUUUGCUAAUUUUUUAUUAGUAUCGGUUAGUUUCACUCGUUACUCAAAUACUAAGAAACGUAAAAAAAUAUAUAAAAAAUUACUCGUUUCGUAACGUUAGUAUCUGGAAACGCAACAUACUCCAAACUUUUGAAAUUCAAAAGUUCUUAGCUUAGAACACGUACAUAAUUUUGACGUAACAUUUUGGCGUAAUGCAUUUGUGCUGCUAAUUUCACAAAACUAAAAUUUCUAAACGUUUGUAAAUCUUCGAAAAUCUCUAUUUUCGUAUUUUCGAGUAACUUAUACCUCGAAAUGAAAAAAGCAACGCGCGCCAGCUUCUUUUCAUAAUCUUGGAUCUUUUCAUUCUUCAUUUUGCCUUCCAAGACUAUUCAUCAUGUCCCAGCGAUCUAGAGAAAAGCGCGAUUACGCGAACUGAAAAUUUUAUUCUCGGCGAUGACGCGGAACUCUAACGCACACGUUAGAGUUCUCUUAUGGCGAGACGCCACGAGACGCCAGUAUGGAAUUUGCGAGCGUAUAAUGGCCCGCCGUAGUCGAGACCUAUAUUUAACGUGGCGCACAGUUUGCUUUUUCUGAUGAACCAUUAAAACUUCGUUGAACCAAGCCGGAAGCUCGUACGGCUCCAGCUUGAAGAUCGCGUUCUCAAGCUUUAAAGCGCUUAAGCUCGCGAUCUUAUGUGAAGCUGGAGAACAUGCGCUGCUAGUGAAACGUAUAUGCAUAGUUAUGCGAAACGCGUAAUUACCUAUUUACGAUAGACACAUGUGCUAUCCAAAUUGUCGCGAACAAAUGUAUUUCGUUCUCGCAAGAAAUGUAUUUCGGGAAUGGUGUCAUUGACCUUCGUAAAUACGAUUAAAAAUAAAAAGAACGUAUUUUGAUAAAUACCAGGUGAUAUCCUGGACCGUUGGCAGUACGUUGUCUAAUUAAAAUAAUGGUAAUCUUCGUGAAAUAAUUAAAUAUAAUUUGAGAAGUAACAAAAGUUCCAUAAUUGCGUCCGUCGCGAAUUUUUCUCACGCGCGAUUGUAUUGACGACCAGUCGUGCUGGUAAUCAUGCUAGCGAUUCCAAGUAACACACUCGUUUUGAUAAAACGUGCGUCGGGAUACAGUACAAAUGUUUUCCUCGUGAGGUAAUUUAUAUGGGCAAUGUUGUAAUUGUAUAUGACAAUGCAGUAAAGUUACGUAAAUUCGGUACACUCGGAUUUUGACUCGAAACAGACGUGCGUUAAAUAAAUAACCGGACGUUUCGCCAAAAUAAUCUGCAGCGCGUUCGAGAUCGUUGAUUUUACAAUUUAUAUUUAUACGUUUGCAGUAACAUUCUAUAAAUUACCUGACGCCAGCACGUCUCGCGUGACCGUUCGUCGCGUCGCUACUUUGAUUGCACUUUCUGUCAUUAUUUUCGCUUCUCGCUGCUUGCUUAUUAAACGCAUGAACAUAAAGAUUUCUCAGAACAAUGCAUUCGCCACUUGUACACAUAUACGGCUGAAUUCUCUUCCCCUAUUAAUAACCGUCGUCACAAACGCUUUUGGAGCAAAGCUCCAGGCGAUUUGGUUGCGAUCCAAUCCACUUCGAAAUCAAUGGUAUGUAUGUUGGAGAGGAAUACAUUGCGCGGCAGUAUAAAAUCCCACGUCCUAAAUAGGAUCGGUUCCAAACCUUUUUUUGCCGGUGGACCGAUUCAUCUCGUAAAAAGGAGAACUGCGGGAAAUCUGGAGCACCCAGCGCAUGCCAUACGAUUAAAACUUUACAGAGUUAAAUUCACGAAUACGCACACAGCGUUUUUAUCUAUAAAGGCAUGCCUUCCAAUUUUAACUGCCGUUUUAACUUUCCCGUGUGCACUCAAAGUGUGAAAUUAACGAGUUUACAAUGACGAUUUGCAUGUCCCUGUGCUUUUUCGCGGAACUCGCGACGUCGAAUACAAUAAAUCAGAAAACUGUGGAGUCCAAAGAGAGCCCGCGCUGUUUAACAAAACGAGCCAUUGUCUCACUUAUAGCAAGAGAACUAACACUACGAUGUUUGUAUCCCGUGCAUUAUGCGCGCUGUCGUAUGCUUUCUUCUUUCUCUCUCUCUUUCCCUAAGUAGAAUAAUGUUUCUAUCUGUGUGCGUGCGGCAUAAAUUCCACCAUCAUUUGUGUAAGCGUUCCUGCUUAACGACGCAUUUCACCGCAUGGGGAAUAAUGGUGAAACGUGAAGUAUAGUUUUUUCUCAGAAAUGGGAUGCUACGAAGUGUUAUUUCUCGCGUGUUACCUUUUUAAAUUUCGAUAUCCUUACUGGAAGAUAGACAUAAAAAUGCAUAA
rnacentral:lncRNA from 13 species